GUGUUACACUGGCCCCCUAUGCAUUGCUGGUUUGUCUAUCAAGUAAGGAUUUUGUUGAGCAGACGCACAUAUAAAUUGUGUUUUUCCAGGAUUUCACAUUGUCAUCUCCUGGAUCUCAAUUUGUGAGAAGUUACACAUCUCUGCCGUAAGAAAUGUCUUCACAUACAGUGUUACAUAUGACAUUUUCUGUUGAUCUGAGAAGAGAAGAUAGAAACAAGACCACAACUUUAUGAAAAGCCCAUAGAUUUUUUUGUAGAAAAUGAAAGAAAUUUCAGCCUGACCUUUGGUGGGAAAAGAGACACCACUUCAGAGCAUCUAGCCAAGUAAACAAACUGACACUUCUGCAAUAAUGUAUACACUUUGCAGUUUGAACAGUUGCUUGAUGUUUAAAUUGAUCAUAUGACAACAAAAUGUCAGGAUACUGUUCAUAGGCAUACAGAUGAUUCUGUACAAAAAAAUUAUUAGGAAUAUUUAAGAAUGCAAAGAAAUUCAGGAAGGGUAGAUGCCUAUUGUGCUUGCAUAUCAGAAAGCUGUUGAGCUGUUGCAUAUGUAGAUACCUGACGUGUAUAAAGCAAUAGGAUGUGAGUGGUUCAAAGAAAAAAAGCAAGUAGAAUCAUGUUAUCAUUAAAGAAAAGAAUUUUCAUUCUGCUGUUUAAUAAUUCUAAUUAUGUGCUUUAUUUCCCACUGAAAAUAAAAAGCAAGUACAGAAUGCAAUGCAAGAAAUAUAGGAUUCAGAUGAAGAAAAAAGUUCAGUAACAUUUUUGCAGGUACAUUUCUGUGCUCAGUUUUGUUUGCCAUCAAUCUACCAUUUCCAUUACUGCUUAUCUAACUAAACCUAUGUCAAAACAAAUUAUAGAUUCUGUUUGAACGAGGUCUUGUAAAUUCCUUUCCGCACAAACAGUAGAAACUAUUGAAAUCUAUAAUAUGUGUGUAUAGAAAUUAAUGACUAGAAACAGUAUUUA
rnacentral:lncRNA from 7 species